GUUACAAUUGAAUAAAUCUUCUCACUUCAAAAUUUUCAUCUUUAGUUCACACUUUGCUUCUAUCCUUUCUCAUCGUUCGGUUGGGUUUGAGUGCUGCCAUAUGCAAACACAACAAAAGGGUUAGCGACGGUGGUAGCCAGCCAAAGAGCAUAUGAAAAAUAGCAGUGACGAGGCAAAGGUUUCCACUUUGGUCCAUACUUUCUCUUGGUCCAAUUGUUGUUGCUACAAAGGGACAAAAGGCAAAACAGUCCACUCACAAGCGAAAGCGAAGACGAUGCAAAAAUUGCAAGUCAUUUGGACAUGAUAGACGAAAAUGUACUAAAGUGUGCACAGAUGCAUAUGAAACUCACAAUUAUGAUCAUGUUGGGGCACCCAAUAAUGUUGAGAAUGUAAAUUUGAAUCUGAUAGGAUCAUCCGAUGGCCUAUUGCAAUCAGAUUCAC